CCUACGGGUGGCAGCAGUGGGGAAUAUUGGACAAUGGGGGCAACCCUGAUCCAGCCAUGCCGCGUGUGUGAAGAAGGCCCUCGGGUUGUAAAGCACUUUCAGUGAGGAAGAACGCCUGGUGGUUAAUACCCAUCAGGAAAGACAUCACUCACAGAAGAAGCACCGGCUAACUCCGUGCCAGCAGCCGCGGUAAUACGGAGGGUGCGAGCGUUAAUCGGAAUUACUGGGCGUAAAGCGCGCGUAGGUGGCUUGAUAAGCCGGUUGUGAAAGCCCCGGGCUCAACCUGGGAACGGCAUCCGGAACUGUCAAGCUAGAGUGCAGGAGAGGAAGGUAGAAUUCCAGGUGUAGCGGUGAAAUGCGUAGAGAUCGGGAGGAAUACCAGUGGCGAAGGCGGCCUUCUGGACUGACACUGACACUGAGGUGCGAAAGCGUGGGUAGCAAACAGGAUUAGAUACCCCAGUAGUC
rnacentral:rRNA from 1 species